CGGAGGGUGCAAGCGUUAUCCGGAUUCGACUGGGUUUAAAGGGUGCGUAGGUGGGUUGGUAAGUCAGUGGUGAAAUCCCCGAGCUUAACUUGGGAACUGCCAUUGAUACUAUCAGUCUUGAAUAUUGUGGAGGUUAGCGGAAUAUGUCAUGUAGCGGUGAAAUGCUUAGAUAUGACAUAGAACACCAAUUGCGAAGGCAGCUGGCUACGCAUAUAUUGACACUGAGGCACGAAAGCGUGGGGAUCAAACAGGAUUAGAUACCCUGGUAGUCCACGCCCUAAACUAUGGAUACUCGACAUCAGCGAUACACUGUUGGUGUCUGAGCGAAAGCAUUAAGUAUCCCACCUGGGAAGUACGAUCGCAAGAUUG
rnacentral:rRNA from 1 species